AUUGAACGCUGGCGGCAGGCCUAACACAUGCAAGUCGAGCGGAUGAAGGGAGCUUGCUCCUGGAUUCAGCGGCGGACGGGUGAGUAAUGCCUAGGAAUCUGCCUGGUAGUGGGGGAUAACGUCCGGAAACGGGCGCUAAUACCGCAUACGUCCUGAGGGAGAAAGUGGGGGAUCUUCGGACCUCACGCUAUCAGAUGAGCCUAGGUCGGAUUAGCUAGUUGGUGGGGUAAAGGCCUACCAAGGCGACGAUCCGUAACUGGUCUGAGAGGAUGAUCAGUCACACUGGAAAUGAGACACGGUCCAGACUACUAAGGGAGGCAGCAGUGGGGAAGAGUGAACAAGGGGCGAAAGCAUGAACCAGCAAUGCGGAGGGUGGGAAGAAGGUAUGUGGAUUGUAAAGCACUUUAAGUUGGGAGGAAGGGCAGGAAGCGAAUACCUUGCUGUGGUGACGGGACCAACAGAAUAAGCACCGGCUAACUUCGUG
rnacentral:rRNA from 1 species